AUGGCCACAUUAUGUUGAAACACCAGGUUCCCGUAUGAUCACCGAAGUUAAACAACAUUGAGUCUUGUCAGUAUUUACACAGGUGAUUGCUUGGGAAUUCCAGGUGUUGUAA